rnacentral:rRNA from 1 species
CAGUAGCCGCGGUAAUACGUAGGGUGCAAGCGUUAAUCGGAAUUACUGGGCGUAAAGCAUGCGCAGGCGGUUAUAUAAGACAGAUGUGAAAUCCCCGGGCUCAACCUGGGAACUGCAUUUGUGACUGUAUAGCUAGAGUACGGCAGAGGGGGAUGGAAUUCCGCGUGUAGCAGUGAAAUGCGUAGAUAUGCGGAGGAACACCGAUGGCGAAGGCAAUCCCCUGGGCCUGUACUGACGCUCAUGCACGAAAGCGUGGGGAGCAAACAGGAUUAGAUACCCCCGUAGUCCCUGUCUCUUAUAC